GGGGGUAUAGCUCAGGUGUAGAGGGUUCGUUUUCCAUGCGAGUACUCUAGGAUUCGAUUUCCCAUACCUCCA
rfam:Angiostrongylus cantonensis strain Taiwan genome assembly, scaffold: ACAC_contig0009743